rnacentral:lncRNA from 1 species
UCCCCUGCUUGGCUCUAUUUCUUGAGAGCUGAGUGAGGAUCUAGGAUCCAUUUUUCCAGCAAAGGGUGGACCUGGCGAUCCUUCAAGGUCCUGGUCUGUUCUUUGUCCUGUCAUUGAAAGUGAAACUGUAAAACAAAUGGAGUUGAUUCUGCCCUUUAAGUGUAGAAAGAGAACAUACUCUGUUUUUCCGGAAUAUGGAGAACUAGCCACAUCCUGAAUCACACCCCUCUAAGCCAACAGCUAAUGGCACAGUGACAAUUUCACAGACAGGCUGUGUCAUCUUCAUAGAUGAUUACAGGCAGCUCCAUGACCUUCACACCCAGCUUGGCUGCUGUGGCUAAAAUGACCCCCACGCUGGGACAGGGCCUGGUGUCAGCCCAAAUAAACAACUGGCACGGUGGGGCCUGGACAGGAGCCCCAGUUCCCCCACAUCUGUCAGGCACUGGGGUGACUUGUGCAGCACUGCGAGAUCUCUGCUGCAGAAACUUGAGCUGUGACGCUGAGCAGAGCUGGAGUUAGUGAAUGGGAAGCAGGAUUCAGCACGCUUCAGGGUGGUUUGAAGAGCCAGGAAGCACUGGGGCUGUUUAAUUGAAAGUAACUGUAUAAAAAAAAGGAAUUAAUUCUUAUUAAACACCCACAGUGACAUUUUCUUAAGUGGAAAUUAAACAGGGAUUAAGGUGAAGCCUCCUAAGACUCUCCCUGUUGUGAUCAAGAAUAUUUUAAGGCAAGAGCACCAGGCCACGUUAAAUUUGAAGAAAUGAACUGAUCUGGAUGCACUCCGGUGCCUUUCCCUCUCUCCGUCCUGCUGCUCAGGGGAGCAGAGGCAGCUGGAUGUAGUGGGGUGCUAUGCAAAGAGAUGGUCUUAAACUGAGGGGGCCUCCUCAGAGCCCUGGCCUCUCAGCCAUGUUCUCAAGUGCUGCCUGAAACGGGAAGGGAAAAGAAAUGCUUUGUAAUGGAAACCCUAGAUAAAACAAGAAACGACAUUUUCCUUUGUGGUCCCCCCAGUGCUCUUGCCUGUACUUGGAGGAGGCCAUACUCCCCGUCUGCCUUUUGGGGAACCAGCAGAAAGUGUCCCUCGCAGGGAGGAUGCAGUGACGGUGGAGCAGAUGGAGCUGCUCAACCCCUCGCACCAGCGAUGCCAAGGCACGGAGGCACCCAGGGAGCAAGUGACAGGAGUCAAGGUCAAGCAAGUCAGGAGCUGCCAGAUUGAGAGACGUGGUUCUUCUUGCCUGUGUCACUGCCGCUGCUCCCUUCAGCCAUGGGACUUCGCAGAAAACUCUCCUGGAAGAUGCCUUUACUGCCAUAACCCUCUGGCUGGGUGUGUUGCUGCAGGGCUGACACAGCUCACUCAGAUGAGGUGACACAUGGCACGUGCCGCCACGAUGCUCCCAGACAGAGGUCAGAGGGCUGCCCGCCCCCCUGCCCACCUCCCCUGCUUGCUCCCCUGCCUGCACAUGCAAGUGCUCCUACCUUCCCUCCGGAGACCCUGAGCUCCAGCAGCC